rnacentral:rRNA from 1 species
CAGUAGCCGCGGUAAUACGGAGGGGGCUAGCGUUGUUCGGAAUUACUGGGCGUAAAGCGCACGUAGGCGGCUUUGUAAGUCAGAGGUGAAAGCCUGGAGCUCAACUCCAGAAUUGCCUUUGAGACUGCAUCGCUUGAACGUCGGAGAGGUGAGUGGAAUUCCGAGUGUAGAGGUGAAAUUCGUAGAUAUUCGGAAGAACACCAGUGGCGAAGGCGACUGACUGGACAAGUAUUGACGCUGAGGUGCGAAAGCGUGGGGAGCAAACAGGAUUAGAUACCCCCGUAGUCCCUGUCUCUUAUAC